rnacentral:rRNA from 1 species
UACGUAGGGUGCAAGCGUUGUCCGGAAUCACUGGGCGUAAAGGGCGUGUAGGCGGUCCGCUAAGUCUGAUGUGAAAGCCCGGGGCUCACCCCCGGAAGGGCAUUGGAAACUGACGGACUCGAGUCCCGAAGAGGAGGGUGGAAUUCCUGGUGUAGCGGUGAAAUGCGUAGAUAUCAGGAGGGACACCGGUGGCGAAGGCGGCCCUCUGGACGGUGACUGACGCUGAGACGCGAAAGCGUGGGGAGCAAACAGG